AUUGAACGCUGGCGGCAGGCCUAACACAUGCAAGUCGAGCGGAUGACGGGAGCUUGCUCCUUGAUUCAGCGGCGGACGGGUGAGUAAUGCCUAGGAAUCUGCCUGGUAGUGGGGGACAACGUUUCGAAAGGAACGCUAAUACAGCAUACGUCCUACGGGAGAAAGCAGGGGACCUUCGGGCCUUGCGCUAUCAGAUGAGCCUAGGUCGGAUUAGCUAGUUGGUGAGGUAAUGGCUCACCAAGGCGACGAUCCGUAACUGGUCUGAGAGGAUGAUCAGUCACACUGGAGCUGAGAAACGGUCCAGACUCCUACGGGAGGCAGCAGUGGGGAAUAUUGGACAAUGGGCGAAAGCCUGAUCCAGCCAUGCCGCGUGUGUGAAGAAGGUCUUCGGAUUGUAAAGCACUUUAAGUUGGGAGGAAGGGCAGUAAGCUAAUACCUUGCUGUUUUGACGUUACCGACAGAAUAAGCACCGGCUAACUCUGUGCCAGCCGCCGCAGUAAGAC
rnacentral:rRNA from 1 species